GGGAAACCGAGUCUUAACCGGGCGUUAAGUUGCAGGGUAUAGACCCGAAACCCGGUGAUCUAGCCAUGGGCAGGUUGAAGGUUGGGUAACACUAACUGGAGGACCGAACCGACUAAUGUUGAAAAAUUAGCGGAUGACCUGUGGCUGGGGGUGAAAGGCCAAUCAAACCGGGAGAUAGCUGGUUCUCCCCGAAAGCUAUUUAGGUAGCGCCUCGUGAAUUCAUCUCCGGGGGUAGAGCACUGUUUCGGCUAGGGGGCCAUCCCGGCUUACCAACCCGAUGCAAACUGCGAAUACCGGAGAAUGUUAUCACGGGAGACACACGGCGGGUGCUAACGUCCGUCGUGAAGAGGGAAACAACCCAGACCGCCAGCUAAGGUCCCAAAGUCAUGGUUAAGUGGGAAACGAUGUGGGAAGGCCCAGACAGCCAGGAUGUUGGCUUAGAAGCAGCCAUCAUUUAAAGAAAGCGUAAUAGCUCACUGGUCGAGUCGGCCUGCGCGGAAGAUGUAACGGGGCUAAACCAUGCACCGAAGCUGCGGCAGCGACACUGUGUGUUGUUGGGUA
rnacentral:rRNA from 1 species